UCCCUGUGAAUCCCGUCUCCUUGUCAAGAUCCCUCUGGUUUCCUGCUCUACAUUCAAGUCUACGCCAGCCUCCCCAACUGAGUCGAUGUGCCAGUGUCCUGCACUUGGGUUCUCCUCUGUUGCCCCCUGUGUAACAGAAUGAACUGGCCACUAUGAUCCCAGCAGACAUGGAUCCUGUACAAGAGGCCCUGACCAGCCAGGGCUACCUGUUGGGUGCCCAUGAUCAUCUGUUUCGGGAGAUCACAGACAACCUUUGGACACUAACUAUGAAUGUGCAGAAGGCUGUGGAAGUUUUGGAGCAACUGACAAAAGAAAAUAAAAUCUCUCGAUAAAGGUCUCACUGCCCAUCAUUGAAGUGGUGGAACAACGAGCAGAUUCAUUUGCUUGAUGGACCAGUUGCGGUGCUGGGAACAGGACUAGCUGAAAUAUCAUCUGCUGCUGGUACUGUAAAGUGCUGACUUACCUUGGACUCAAGAGCCCGAAGAAAGCGUCCACAGAACGAGGAGUGAGAACCAACAGAGGCAGGUUCACCUCAGAGAGAUGGAGCUAAAGGUACACCAACAGAAGAAAGUGGAUUGAGGUGGAUAUGUUGCGUGAUCUUGUCCAAAAUUGACACAGCUUUAUACCAGAACUGGCUCGAGACAACUUCAAUGAUAAGCUUCAAUUGUCAUACGUAUGUCGAAACAUUGAAACAUACAAAAGAAUGCAUCAUUCACAUCAAUAACCAACGUUAUAAUAACCAUAUUGGUUAACUCAACACUUUACAUGAGCCUCUUGCUUAAUGGUCUUGUUCCAUGGCAUAAAAAAGGUUGGA